CAAAAAUUCUGCUAUGUCAGUUGUCUGAGAUUUGCUACCUAUGUUUUCUUCUGGGAUUUUAAUGGUUUCACAAAUUACAUUUAAGUCUUUAUCCAUUUUUAAUUUAUUCUUGUGUAUGGUGUAUGGACCUGAUUAAUACUUCUCUGAAGAGGACAUACAAAUGGUAAGUUUAUGGUCUAAUUUCUUUUUUCUUCUUCUUUUUUUGCAUUUACCUGUCUAAUUUUCCCAACACUGAUCUCGGUCUAAUUGCUGAUUGUUCUACAGGCUCCCUCCAUAGAGAUUACAGGAUCUAUGGCAGGGAUAGUAGCCGGAGAGGAAAACAGAGUUUCAGAAGCUUUUGUAAAUACUACCAGUAAUACAUACAUAUGAGUGCAAAGGUACAUAUGAAUUUAUUUGUCAAUCUGUAGAGCCAGCAAUACUCAAGCAGGUAAAUCAAACCUUUCACCAUUGAAGAGAAGCUACAAUGAACCUCCUACAUCAGGGGUCCUCAAACUUUUUAAACAGGAGGCCAGUUCACUGUCCCUCAGACCGUUGGAGGGCCGGACUAUAGUUUAAAAAAAACUAUGAACAAAUUCCUAUGCACACAGCGGCGGCAAAAACACCCGGCAGGCCGGAUAAAUGUUUUCCGCGGGCCGUAGUUUGAGGACCCCUGUCUUACAUAAAUAUUCAUUUGAAAAUCUGCCACUGGGCUGUUUUCACUCAUUCAUUCAACUAGAUCCACCUGCCUAUGUAAUUCCAGUCUUUAUUUUGUCUGUUGGGUGAAAAUGGCAAUCUCAUCGACUUACUCGAGGCCUCAGGCUCUUGGAAAUAAAUGAUGAACCAUUCAGGAGCUACACAUCUGAGACGCAGCCCACAGAAUGGUUUCUGCCCUGAGAAAGAUGACUUGGGACACAUCGGAGCCAAACCAUUUCCUUCAACCCCUGAGCACAUUGUUUCCCUCCCGUGACUUCUGCAAUCCAGAAACAGCUGCAAAUUCCAGUAAAACAACAUUGGGAUCCAAUUCCUGAAGCCAUCCUUGUCCUUUUGUUUUUCUCUCUGGAGGGAGGAAAGGGAAAAAUCCUUGAAAAGCUGCCAUGGUGCAUUAUUUCCAAGCGUCUGUUAAUGGAGGUGUGAGCCAAGCGGCCCGUUCUACUGGAGGAAAGGAGAGAGCAGAAAUGGAAAAAGGGAAGAUAUAAAAAAAUGGAGAAAAACCUGAGUGAGUGAAAUGAAAUUACACAAUGGGGGGGAAAGAAGAGCGAAAACAUUGCUCAUGCAAAGCAUUUGAAAUGCGCGCUUCAGAAGGCUUCAUCUCACCUCGCUUUCCACUUUGGCUGAGCCAGGAACCCAGUCUAUUUUAGUAUUUAAUUUGGACCCUUCAUACUUGAAGCUAACCGAAUCAGAGGACAUCAGGAUCUAUAAAAAUGAUACUGUGAAUGGAAGGUGCCUAAAGAAGAUACUAUUUCACAAAAUUAAUUACAGUAACACACUUGCAACCUCUACAAUACACGUACUACAAUUUUAUGAAGUUUACUCAGAUUUUGUAGCCCAAAAGCUUCAAAAUGGCAUCCAGUUCUAAGUCUGCUUUUAUUGGUGAUGAUGAUAUUGCUAAAUAUGUCAAUUCUUGCUGUGAAGAUGACGAUUUUGUGGAAGAUAUUGGAGAACAGUGUCCCUCUAUGUUAGCAUUAUAUGUUUUGUUCAAAUUUUUUUUCUACUCGUAUUUUAUAAUACAAUCAGCAAACAAUAGAUGUCAAAGAUGAAAACAAAUGUAGUAAAGGUU